UUUUAUGGAGAGUUUGAUCCUGGCUCAGGAUGAACGCUGGCGGCGUGCCUAAUACAUGCAAGUCGAGCGAACGGACGAGAAGCUUGCUUCUCUGAUGUUAGCGGCGGACGGGUGAGUAACACGUGGAUAACCUACCUAUAAGACUGGGAUAACUUCGGGAAACCGGAGCUAAUACCGGAUAAUAUUUUGAACCGCAUGGUUCAAAAGUGAAAGACGGUCUUGCUGUCACUUAUAGAUGGAUCCGCGCUGCAUUAGCUAGUUGGUAAGGUAACGGCUUACCAAGGCAACGAUGCAUAGCCGACCUGAGAGGGUGAUCGGCCACACUGGAACUGAGACACGGUCCAGACUCCUACGGGAGGCAGCAGUAGGGAAUCUUCCGCAAUGGGCGAAAGCCUGACGGAGCAACGCCGCGUGAGUGAUGAAGGUCUUCGGAUCGUAAAACUCUGUUAUUAGGGAAGAACAUAUGUGUAAGUAACUGUGCACAUCUUGACGGUACCUAAUCAGAAAGCCACGGCUAACUACGUGCCAGCAGCCGCGGUAAUACGUAGGUGGCAAGCGUUAUCCGGAAUUAUUGGGCGUAAAGCGCGCGUAGGCGGUUUUUUAAGUCUGAUGUGAAAGCCCACGGCUCAACCGUGGAGGGUCAUUGGAAACUGGAAAACUUGAGUGCAGAAGAGGAAAGUGGAAUUCCAUGUGUAGCGGUGAAAUGCGCAGAGAUAUGGAGGAACACCAGUGGCGAAGGCGACUUUCUGGUCUGUAACUGACGCUGAUGUGCGAAAGCGUGGGGAUCAAACAGGAUUAGAUACCCUGGUAGUCCACGCCGUAAACGAUGAGUGCUAAGUGUUAGGGGGUUUCCGCCCCUUAGUGCUGCAGCUAACGCAUUAAGCACUCCGCCUGGGGAGUACGACCGCAAGGUUGAAACUCAAAGGAAUUGACGGGGACCCGCACAAGCGGUGGAGCAUGUGGUUUAAUUCGAAGCAACGCGAAGAACCUUACCAAAUCUUGACAUCCUUUGACAACUCUAGAGAUAGAGCCUUCCCCUUCGGGGG
rnacentral:rRNA from 2 species